AUUGAACGCUGGCGGCAGGCCUAACACAUGCAAGUCGAGCGGAUGAAGGGAGCUUGCUCCUGGAUUCAGCGGCGGACGGGUGAGUAAUGCCUAGGAAUCUGCCUGGUAGUGGGGGAUAACGUCCGGAAACGGGCGCUAAUACCGCAUACGUCCUGAGGGAGAAAGUGGGGGAUCUUCGGACCUCACGCUAUCAGAUGAGCCUAGGUCGGAUUAGCUAGUUGGUGGGGUAAAGGCCUACCAAGGCGACGAUCCGUAACUGGUCUGAGAGGAUGAUCAGUCACACUGGAACUGAGACACGGUCCAGACUCCUACGGGAGGCAGCAGUGGGGAAUAUUGGACAAUGGGCGAAAGCCUGACCCAGCCAUGCCGCGUGUGUGAAGAAGGUCUUCGGAUUGUAAAGCACUUUAAGUUGGGAGGAAGGGCAGUAAGUUAAUACCUUGCUGUUUUGACGUUACCAACAGAAAAGGCACCGGCUAACUUCGUG
rnacentral:rRNA from 1 species